UCCGAUGAUGACGGAUCAACCGGCCGAACGGUGACGACAUCGGUCUUGUCUGAGG
rnacentral:ncRNA from 19 species